rnacentral:lncRNA from 1 species
GCAUUCAAAAAAUAAUUUUGGGCCAAGCAUGCCUUCGUAAAUCCUUAACGUAGUUGCUCUUCGGUGCUUUAACGCGUUCCAUGUUUUCGCCCAAUCAAUUGCUAGCUUCCGUGUAUGUGGGAACGCGAUGGCAGGCACGCUUCCAUAGUGCAUCUCUCUAUGCGUGCAUGCUGAAUUAAUUCUCUCCUUAUCCUGAAGACGA